UACGAAUAUUUUCUUGUUCUGUGGUCUCAAGAGAUACGAAAAAAAUUCGAAAUUUUGAUUCAAAAGAAUUUCAAGUUUAGUUGACCGUCUCAUCAGUAACAGAAAUUAAGUCUUAUUCAAAAAACAGCAAAAGGGAUGCUUAUAUUCACAUAUGAAUCAUUCUGAACAGGUUGCAACUUCUAACCGUCUAUAUUGUGGAAGAAUUCUAAAAUAGACACUGGAGAGGCGUUUAUUUCACUAUUAAAAC